ACAUCGUCCAAGCAGACAAAUCGAAUAUCUUUGGAUUCUAGUGCCCCAUGUUGUUACUCUCCGGGAAUGACACAAUCGCGACAUGCGCAGACCACCAACAGCUGUGUGGAGACUUUGUAGACCAGACCACAAUACACUUGGCAAAAUCGGUAUAUAGUUCGAUAAAUCAAAUACUAUAUGUACAAUAGAACUAGCGGCUUAGUUUUGCUUCAAAUUAAGAAAAAUUCUUAUGUAAUUAAUAUUGUAAUGCUUGCUAUAGAAUUGGUAACAUUUAUUCAAUUAAAUGCUUUGUUAGCAAUUAAUUUGUCAAGUGUAAGCUAAGUCUUGGGGGUGAGUUUUGCAAUUAUUUAGCCAGCUUCAAUUAACGCGGUCGCAAUGAAAGUGAAAUGCCAUUGAUUAGGGCCUGGCCAAAGGAGUAAUGCUCGGCUCCACAGUUGUCAAUGGGUCAUUAAGAUGGUUUGGAUCGCUGGGAUGGGCAGGGGGGAAUGGGGGAUUGGGGGUCAGGUGGCGAGGUAACCUGCACGACAUGAAUGCUGGAAAUAAAUCCACAGACGCGGCUGCCUUUCAGCUGGUGAAAGUCAACUGUUGCGUGUUGCAGACGCCCAAAAAGUGCAGGGGGGACAAAGGGGGGAUGGUGGGCAGCUCUUACACAUGCGCAGUUUCAAAAAUUUCACGGCAUAAUUUAAACAAACUGUUGAAAACGGUAACAAAAAGCCAAACAAAAGGAAAAAUCAUUCAAAAUUGGUUAGCUCAUUCGAUUAUACACGCUUGUACGAGUAUGUGAGAAGGUUAAUAGCUAUACUGCCUUUAAAACCAGCAAUUAUAACGAUAUAUUAGUUUGGUGGAUCCAUUACGACAAUAAAAAUUAAUAUGAGCAUCCCACGGAAUCUGUGAGACUUUCGUCUGCACUAACUUAAUUAGCCGAGUUCACGUGGCUAACUGAAGAUCCAAGAGUAAUUGGCCCCCAGGGAACUGGCACAGCGCAAUUUGAAUAUUUUGAAUCGGUGAACUUUGUUUAUGGCCACAUUAAGAUGAUCGCGAAUCGCACGAAAUGGACUGUGAACAAUUUUCAGCUCAUCUGGAGCGGCGAUGAAAGUGCGAAAGCAUCUUUUAUUGUUCCGGGGAGCCCUUCUAUUUUCACCGCUAGAUGUUGGGGUUUGUCGGCAUUUUUUAUGAAGGCUCUCAGCACUUUUUCAUUUUAAUUAAAAGCAAAUUUCCCGCUGCGAUGGUUUUGAUUGCAUCAGGCAAGAUACUAUAUCAAAUACUAUCUAAUUGAAAGGAAACCCAUUUACAUACAUAAUUCUAACUAAGUUUUAUGACUUUUAUUUAAUAGUUAUGCCACAAUUGCUUAGUGGCCUAAUGCCAUUAGUUUGCGUAAAUUAAACAAACUUUAAAUGCCAAUAGCUGUUGUAGCUAAUAAACAGUUUCGGUACAUUUGCAAAAUCAAGCAAGAGUUCAAAUGGACUCACUCGUGUGUUUCCAAACAAAAAAGCAAUUAAAGUGUACAUUAUGUCCAAAUCAUAAAACACACAAAAUACACUUUCCAAAAUCCCACACACACCAGCCACUAAAUUCCACAUGUUUUGCGAGUUUCGCACGCCAACUUUAUGCGGUUUUUGUACUACGAGUAUGAAUAUGAAUAUGAAUGCAGAAUUGAGGUCUGAAGAGAUUCACCGAAAUCAAAACAAUACGAGUACUUUGCACAACUCAAUUCAGCGAAACUCCACAGGCGGCACUGCCGGAUAUUUCGAACUCUAAACAAAAAAGAAAAAAUAAAAUAAAAACAAACCGAUUGUCAGACGACAAAAUGCCUGUCAUUGCAACAAGUGCAGCAAAUGGAGUUAUAUAUAUUGCCAAUGCUGGCUUAUUCAAUCCAAGGAAGUUUGUUGCUGGCCGCACAGUACUCAUAAACCGCACCGAACCGCACGCUUUGAGAUCUUGUUUAAUACUGGAGCCGAAAUCGAAGUUGGAGCCACCGCUCAAGUGGCAAUGGAGUGGUAUUAUAUGGCAAUGGAACGCGACAGUGGGCUGCAAGAUUUCAUGUCAGCUAAAGUACGUAAUUUUCUUAAAAGGAAAAUAACUCAAGGGGCUAAAGAGGAAGUCGCAACCAACAGUUUCCUGAUCUUAGCAAUUAAAGACAAAUACAAAUUGAGCCAAGUACUUUUAGCAGCUGAAUGAUAUUGAUAAAGCUAUUUACUUGUAAUUUCUUGUUAUUUUACGCUAUUUAUUUUGAUAAGGAAACAUAAAUCAAUAAUUUAUCAGAACUUUUUACGAACUUUAAUAAUCAAUAACAUUUCUGUUAUGAGCCCCACUGUAAUUGUUUGCUGUUGUUACCAAUGUUCCAUUUUCCCACCGUUCCCGCCAGCAACAACAGCACCAGCAACAUCAACUAGCAACAUCGCCGCCUGCACUAGCAACAUGAGCGAGUGUUAAGAAUGUUGCUGGUGGGCCGAAAGAGUUGACCGUGUGGGUAUAGGCCGCUUUUGUUAACGUUCUUAGAGUGUGUGGCACAGCCGUUAGACGCUGUUAGCUGAAUGAAAAAUGUAGAAAGAAAGGAAGGAGGCAGAGCAACAGCGGCAUCAGCAGCCAUAAUAUUUAUGCGCCCGGUAUCUCUAGAUUGGGGAUCACAAUGAGGCUCUUGUUGCAUCCGCGUGAGCGGAUUAACUGAGAGGCCAUAAUAACUCAGAUUGAGUGGGCUUAUUCAGCACUUUGUUGGAUGCUGGAAGGGCAGGGAGCAGGCGAUGGAGGUAAUGACUCAUGCACUGGCCAAGCUGGUAAGCCAGUCUCAAGGUUAAUCCACAAGUGCGGUUUUGCAUGUGAUUGGUUUGUUGUUUUUUUUUUAUCUGCAAGUAUCUGCAGCUGGCUACUUCGAAAUUGGCCUUCUAAUGUCUGCUGGAGACUGAAGUAAAAGGAAAGCCAAUGUCCCGACGCAGGCUCAUCUAUUGGAUCCAUCGAGUGACAGGUUAAACCGCAACCACACAUUUAGCCAUGGCCAGCGGCGUUUUGCAGUUAUUUGGCUGUUGGCUGCGAAACAGGUUCACAUACACACACACACACAUAUUAGCCAGCCUUUUAGCCAGACAAUUGAUUUUUCCUAGCAAUAAAGUUUUUCCCAACUUUUGGUUAGAGCCAGAAAACAACUCCAUCGACGUGGAUGUCGUGCCGUUGCCGGUUGUUGUUGCUGGAAUUGCUGUUUGCUGUUGUGACUGUUGCGCUGGUUCGUUGCCAUGACAAAAGAAUGCGGCACUCGCCAUCAAGUCUCUGGCCAAAGUCAAAAUGUUAUCUUAACUACGACCACGAUUUGGCCAGAAAGCCAAGACCCAGUCUGGAGCUCCCAUAGAUGGAGACGGGAACGCCACACGGAGAACAAAAAGUUAACAAUAGCUCUUUGAACUAAAAAUAGCUGAUUCGUUUAGCUUUGAAUUGAAAACAAUCUUAGACAUUGGCAUAUAGUUUAAACUAACUAACUUUGGAUUAUUAAGAGAAUAAAAUUUAAUAGAAGAAAAAUAUUAGAAGAAAAAGUUGUGCGUGGUAUAUAGAAGGUAUGCAUACAAUGUAUUAAUGUAUGUAUUAAUGCUUCGUGCAUUGCAACAAUAUAUAUAUUUUAAUAAAUUUAAUAUUUUUCCAGUGCAGUGAAAUGGGAAUGUGGUGAUGGGGGGAGGCAUAGACAAUUGGAAAUGCCAAGUGCCGUUGCCGUUUGGUCGCGUCUUUGGCUUUGGCUUCGCCCAGAAUGCACCAGGCCCACGAAGAGUUGCAGUUGUUGCAGUUGCUGGCUGCAGCACUUUUUGGCCCAUAAACAUGCCCCAAUGGAUAGCCCCUUCUCUUUCUGGUAGCCGGCGCUAAAACACGGCAAUUGGAACCGACAACGGUACGGGAACUGCAAUGGGAAUGUCGAGUGGAUGGGGAUGAUGGAGACGCCAAUGGAGCAGCGUAACCUUUGGCAACUUCAGCAAACAUAAAGGCGAACCUGUGAGUUUCAACCUGUCCUUUUUCCCACUGAUGUCUGUCUAAUUUUGGGCUAAUUUCAAUUUCCAUUUCGAUUUCCAUUUACCCUUAAAAUAAAAGGGGGCAGUGCCCAAGGGGGGAAUGGGGGAUAAGGGCGUGCCAUGCCAAAGCUGUGAGCUGGCCAAAGUAAAUUGCAUUUGAUUAACCCCAGAGUGCCCUUUUGGCAAACAGAACCGAGUAGACAAACAGGCAAACACGUGGGAUUCGCUCUCUGUUUGUUUUGGUCGUUAAAUCAAUGGUUGAAUGUUUCUGGAUUUGCAUGUUAAAUUACAUUAACACCAGGUUGGAUCAGGUGAUUUAAUGGUUACUAUAUUUUGAAAACUCUAGGCAGUUUCUACUUAUAUACUUGCCAAUUUAUUUAAUUGCUAUUAUGGUAUUUAAAACGAAUAAAAGGUAUUGUAAAAUUUGGAAUUAUCUUUCAUAUUUCUUUAAAUUUUGAUUUAAUUUAAAUGCUACCCCGAAGUUAGUCGUAUAUCUCUGCAUUUCUAGGGCUAACUUGAGUAAUCACUUACCGGCCGGCAGAAAUUUGUCGGGCAGCCAAAAAGAGAGAGGCAACCUGCGCUAAAAAAGGGGAGAGGCUGCUGAUUGAUUUGCAGCACCUCGAGUGAAAUUGGGUUGGGAGGGGAGGAGGGGGAACUACCGGGAAAAUGCACUUAAUAAUAUUCCAACAUUCGCUGGCCAACUGCCAACUGAAGAGCUAAUAAAACCAAAUCAAAGGCAAUUCAAAGCGAUACCGCCAGCGCAUUUCUGACCCAAUGCAGCCAAUUCAAUUAGCUUUGCAUAGGAAGGGGAAAAUGGAAAUUAUUCCAAAAAACUGAAAUGCUUUUAUCAGAUACAAAUUCAGUGUGGCAGGAUUGGUUUCUGAGAGCGUGAAACCACAUUUUCAGGUCAAUUUGUAGUUCAGAUACUGAGUUACGAGAGUUCAUCUGACAUACAUAUUAUAUGAUAUGAACUCUCGACCUUAUUUCUCGAAAUGGAUCACUUCGAACAUUUUAUGCUGCACUUCAAGUUCGAUUACUUCUUGAGUAAUGGAUAUAUAGAUACCCAAUAUAGAACAAUUCUAGCUAUUAAACUUAAGUCAGA
rnacentral:sRNA from 1 species